rnacentral:rRNA from 2 species
GAAGUUGGAGUCGCUAGUAAUCGCAGAUCAGCAACGCUGCGGUGAAUACGUUCCCGGGCCUUGUACACACCGCCCGUCACGUCAUGAAAGUCGGUAACACCCGAAGCCGGUGGCCUAACCCCUUGUGGGAGGGAGCCGUCGAAGGUGGGAUUGGCGAUUGGGACGAAGUCGUAACAAGGUAGCCGUACCGGAAGGUGCGGCUGGAUCACCUCCUUU